AUGAUUCUUGCUGGAUGUGACACAAGGCCACUGUACCCCUCACUCUGCAAUUUUGUUUCCCCAACCCCUCGAAGCAAUUUUAGAAGUUACUAUUCUCAACCUACGUCUACAAAACAUCUCAGCCAAAGACUCGGUGAUGCUGCAUCCCACGGAUCAUCCCACCACUUCAGCACGGGAAAUCUGUCGCCCCUUCACGGCACUAGCGCAACCAGCCCGAUGCCUUUUGCCUUCCCAUGUGCUAUUCUUAAACUACCCGAGCUGCUGCUGCCUCUCCUUAGAGAGAGCUGCUAUUUGGUUAGCAAAAUGGCACGAAGCCGACCUGCUGCUGCGAGCUCCAUCUUCUUGGAUAGAAGCCAAGCCUGAACAGGUUGAGGAGAAGAGGCUGCCGUGGACCAAGUGUGCAAGA
rnacentral:lncRNA from 1 species